rnacentral:rRNA from 1 species
AGUGAACGCUGGCGGUAGGCCUAACACAUGCAAGUCGAACGGCAGCACAGUAAGAGCUUGCUCUUACGGGUGGCGAGUGGCGGACGGGUGAGGAAUACAUCGGAAUCUACUUUUUCGUGGGGGACAACGUGGGGCCACUUCUGCUACCACAUAAUAUGUCCAACGGCUGAAAUCAGGAGUUAUAGGGACUUUUCCCGUUACAUUGAGCCGAUGUCGGAUUAGCUAGUUGGCGGGGUAAAGGCCCACCAAGGCGACGAUCCGUAGCUGGUCUGAGAGGAUGAUCAGCCACACUGGAACUGAGACACGGUCCAGACUCCUACGGGAGGCAGCAGUGGGGAAUAUUGGACAAUGGGCGCAAGCCUGAUCCAGCCAUACCGCGUGGGUGAAGAAGGCCUUCGGGUUGUAAAGCCCUUUUGUUGGGAAAGAAAAGCAGCAGGUUAAUACCCCGCUGUUCUGACGGUACCCAAAGAAUAAGCACCGGCUAACUUCGUG